GCAUGUGAGGGUGAUCUGGCUGUGACAUCUGUCACCCCAUUGAUCACCAGGGUUGAUUCGGCUGAUCUGGAUGGCUAGGCGGUGUCCCCUUGCUCCCUCACCACCCCAUGUGCGUCCCUCCGAAGCUACAUGCUCAGUCAGAGAGGAUGACCAUUCCCGAUAGAGGAGGACCAUUCUUCGGUCAAGGGUAUACAAGUAGCUGCGCUCCCCUGCUAGAACCUCCAAACAAGCUCUCAACACCCCAUCUUAAUGGAAAAAAGCUGGGUGUGGUGGUGCAUGCCUGAGAUUCCAGAGACAGUGGUAAACAUAAAAGAUCU
rnacentral:snRNA from 1 species